AGUUUUGUAGUGUAGCGGCACGCCAGAUUGCAAACCUGGGGGCGCAGAGUAAAGUCUGCCAAAACUU
rnacentral:tRNA from 1 species